AUACUUACCUGACAGGGAGAUACCAUGGUCAUGAAGGUGAUUUUCCCAGGGUGAGGCUUAUCCAUUGCACUCCGGAUAUGCGGACCCCUGCAAUUUCCCCAGAUGUGGGAAACUCGACUGCAUAAUUUUUGGUAGUGGGGAACUGCAUUCAUGCUCUCCCCUU
ensembl:snRNA U1 U1 spliceosomal RNA